rnacentral:lncRNA from 10 species
UGUCUUGCUCUGUCACCCAGGCUGGAGUGAAGUGGCAUGACCUUAGCUCACGGCAGCCUCAAAUUACUGGGCUUAAGUGAUCUCUUUCAAAUCAAGAACCUGAGACACAGAGAAUUAAGUAACUUGUCAAAAGUCCCACCGUUUGCUUUAUCUGCAGGGAGUCAUCAGUUAAAUAUGCCAGAUGAAGAGUUUGUGAUGGAGAACACUUGCUGGAUCAAAACCAAGAAUGAAAGGUGCCAAAAAUAAGUGCUGAUUGUGCCAAGUUGUGUCUUUAUCACCUGUCAAAGAUCUCAGUGCACUGUCAUAUGACAUCUAAGGUUUGCUCUUCUUACCCUACGAAACACUGACAAAAAUGGAAGACUUGCAUAAUGCCCUGUGGAGAAGACUGCCAGAGAAUGUGCCGGGCCAAGAGAUUUCACUUGGCAUUUGCCAAUGACCGGGAUAUACACCUGGUGCAUUUGCUACAUUUGUUGAAAUUAGGAUCAUGAACUAUGAACUGCAGAAACUGCAGGCAUAUACUUACUAAAAAAAUCUAUUUAUAUAUGUAGAUGUAUGUAUGUAUGCACAUAUCUGUGCAUGCAUACUCACAAUGUUGUUGUAUAAAUAUUAUAUUUUUGUAUAUUUAGUAAUAAUUAAAAUUAUUUUUUC